UACGAAGGGGGCUAGCGUUGUUCGGAAUUACUGGGCGUAAAGCGCGCGUAGGCGGUGAUCUUUGUCAGAGGUGAAAUCCCGAGGCUCAACUUCGGAAUUGCCUUUGAAACGGGAUCGCUUGAGUCCGAGAGAGGAUGGCGGAAUUCCUAGUGUAGAGGUGAAAUUCGUAGAUAUUAGGAAAGAACACCGGUGGCGAAGGCGGCCAAUCUGGCUCGGUACUGACGCUCAGGCGCGAAAGCGUGGG
rnacentral:rRNA from 1 species